UUCGUCUGUGUAAAAUGAGGAUGAGCACCUCCGAAGGCCGUUUGCGCCGGGCGAAGCGAGACAACGUUGCGAAGGCAACGGCCCGAGUGCAACGGCCCAGGGGCGAUUGAUAUCUUAUUAAUCAGUC
rnacentral:sRNA from 1 species